GAUGAACGCUGGCGGCGUGCCUAAUACAUGCAAGUCGAGCGAACAGACGAGGAGCUUGCUCCUCUGACGUUAGCGGCGGACGGGUGAGUAACACGUGGAUAACCUACCUAUAAGACUGGGAUAACUUCGGGAAACCGGAGCUAAUACCGGAUAAUAUAUUUAACCGCAUGGUUCAAUAGUGAAAGACGGUUUUGCUGUCACUUAUAGAUGGAUCCGCGCCGCAUUAGCUAGUUGGUAAGGUAACGGCUUACCAAGGCAACGAUGCGUAGCCGACCUGGGAGGGUGGUCGGCCGCACUGGAGCUGAGACACGGUCCAGACUCCUACGGGAGGCAGCAGUAGGGAAUCUUCCGCAAUGGGCGAAAGCUUGACGGAACAACGCCGCGUGAGUGAUGAAGGUCUUCGGUUCGUAAAACUCUGUUAUGGGGGAAGAACAAAUGUGUAAGUAACUAUGCCCGUCUUGACGGUACCUGAUCAGAAAGCCACGGCUAACUACGUG
rnacentral:rRNA from 1 species